AUCAACAGCUGAUGCACGAGCCGUUUGGAUAUCAUCUUUUGUAAUGAUUUUGAUGUUCACUCCAGCAUCUUGACAGUCCUCCACAGCUUUCCUUGCAUGUUCUCUACAUGGAGCUUUCAGACCGAGAAAUGCUAAUAAAAUCGAAUCAUCUUCUUUGAGCUUGGGAUGGAAAUUCCCUUCAUGAUCAAUCUGAUGUUCUGCUGUUACACUUCUAUA
rnacentral:misc_RNA from 1 species